rnacentral:rRNA from 1 species
CCAAUAGCGUAUAUUAAAGUUGCUGCAGUUAAAAAGCUCGUAGUUGAAUUUCGGGACCAUCAUGUCGGUCGUGCCUCGGUACGUACUGGUAUUGUUGGUUUCUCCCUUCUGACGAACCAUGAUGUCAUUUAUUUGGUGUUGUGGGGAAUCAGGACUGUUACUUUGAAAAAAUUAGAGUGUUUAAAGCAGGCUCACGCUUGAAUACAUUAGCAUGGAAUAAUGAAAUAGGACGUUUGAUUCUAUUUUGUUGGUUUCUAGGAUCGACGUAAUGAUUAAUAGGGAUAGUUGGGGGCAUUAGUAUUCAAUUGUCAGAGGUGAAAUUCUUGGAUUUAUUGAAGACUAACUACUGCGAAAGCAUUUGCCAAGGAUGUUUUCAUUAAUCAAGAACGAAAGUUAGGGGAUCGAAGACGAUCAGAUACCGUCGUAGUCUUAACCAUAAACUAUGCCGACUAGGGAUCGGAUGAUGUUAAUUUUUUAAUGACUCAUUCGGCGCCUUAC